rnacentral:misc_RNA from 1 species
GUGAAGCUCCGGAAGACUUCCUUCGACACUUGGAUGGAGUUUUCCUCAAAAAUAGGAGAUGUGGAUGCUUUGUGGAAAAUUGAGAAGAUUCGAUCAGAAAUCAUGAAGGAACAUACUCUUGGAAGUGGACUUUCAUGUGCUAAGGGUUUCCUAAUUGACCACAAACCUGAAGAUGCUGCUGCCGUCAUUCAUUUACUCAAUCAGAGUGUACCUGAUUCGAGAAAGCAAAAAUUCAUUGCUGAACUUCAAAAGCUAGUUGCGGACUGGCCUUUGGAGGUGAUAAAGCGACA